GUGGGGUUGUGGCUCAGUGGUAGAGCGCUUGCCUUGUAUGCGUGCGGCCCUGGGUUCCAUCCUCAACACCACA
rnacentral:tRNA from 1 species